rnacentral:rRNA from 1 species
CCUACGGGGGACAGCAGUGAGGAAUAUUGGUCAAUGGGCGCAAGCCUGAACCAGCCACGUCGCGUGAGGGAAGACGGUCCUAUGGAUUGUAAACCUCUUUUGUCGGGGAGCAAGUCGAGUCACGUGUGCCUCCUUGAGAGUACCCGAAGAACACGCAUCGGCUAACUCCGUGCCAGCAGCCGCGGUAGUACGUAGGAUGCGAGCGUUAUCCGGAUUUCUUGGGUUUAAAGGGUGCGCAGGCGGAGGUGCAAGUCAGCGGUCAAAUUGCGGGGCUCAACCCCGUACUGCCGUUGAAACUGCAGCCCUUGAGUGCGCGAGAAGUAUGCGGAAUGCGUGGUGUAGCGGUGAAAUGCAUAGAUAUCACGCAGAACUCCGAUUGCGAAGGCAGCAUACCGGCGCGCAACUGACGCUCAUGCACGAAAGCGUGGGUAUCGAACAGGAUUAGAUACCCGUGUAGUC